rnacentral:rRNA from 1 species
GACGAACGCUGGCGGCGUGCUUAACACAUGCAAGUCGAACGGUGAAGCGCCUUCCUUUUUGGUGGGUGUGGAUGAGUGGCGAACGGGUGAGUAACACGUGAGUAACCUGCCCCCUACUUCUGGAUAACCGCAUGAAAGAGUGGCUAAUACGGGAUAUUCUGGGUCUGUGGCAUGAUGGGUCUGGGAGAGAUAUUGUUUCGGUGGGGGAUGGGCUCGCGGCCUAUCAGUUUGUUGGGGUGGCGAUGGCCUACCGAGGCGGUCACGGGUAGGCGGCCUGGGAGGGUGGGCGGUCAGGCGGGUGCGGAGAGGCCGCGCAGACUCCGGGGGGAGGCAGCGGGGGAUAGUAGAGCACAGGGGGCGGAAGGCUGAUGCAGCGACGCCGGGGGAGUGAUGGAGUUCUGGUGGUUGAGAACCUCUGUCGCGAGUGAAGCGGACUUGGCUCGUAUGUGGGUGGGUUGACGGUAGCUGGAGAAGAAGCGCCGGCUAACUACGUG